GACGAACGCUGGCGGCGUGCCUAACACAUGCAAGUCGAACGGAGAUACAGGGGCUUGCCCUUGUAUUUUAGUGGCGGACGGGCGAGUAACGCGUGAGGAACCUGCCCUUGAGAGGGGAAUAACGACCGGAAACGGGCGCUAAUACCGCAUGACAUAUUGGGACGGCAUCGUUCUGAUAUCAAAGGAGCAAUCCGCUCAAGGAUGGCCUCGCGUCCGAUUAGCUAGUUGGUGGGGUAACGGCUCACCAAGGCGACGAUCGGUAGCCGAACUGAGAGGUUGAUCGGCCGCAUUGGGACUGAGACACGGCCCAGACUCCUACGGGAGGCAGCAGUGGGGGAUAUUGGUCAAUGGGGGGAACCCUGAACCAGCAACGCCGCGUGAGGGAAGACGGCCUUCGGGUUGUAAACCUAAGUGAUCAGGGAAGAAGGAAGUGACAGUAC
rnacentral:rRNA from 1 species